GCAGGCUUAACACAUGCAAGUCGAGCGGAGCGAAGGUGCUUGCACUUAGCUUAGCGGCGGACGGGUGAGUAAUGCUUAGGAAUCUGCCUAUUAGUGGGGGACAACGUUUCGAAAGGAACGCUAAUACCGCAUACGUCCUACGGGAGAAAGCAGGGGAUCUUCGGACCUUGUGCUUAUAGAUGAGCCUAAGUCGGAUUAGCUAGUUGGUGGGGUAAAGGCCUACCAAGGCGACGAUCUGUAGCGGGUCUGAGAGGAUGAUCCGCCACACUGGGACUGAGACACGGCCCAGACUCCUACGGGAGGCAGCAGUGGGGAAUAUUGGACAAUGGGCGAAAGCCUGAUCCAGCCAUGCCGCGUGUGUGAAGAAGGCCUUUUGGUUGUAAAGCACUUUAAGCGAGGAGGAGGAGCUUCAGGUUAAUACCCUGGAUGCUUGGACGUUACUCGCAGAAUAAGCACCGGCUAACUCUGUGCCAGCAGCCGCGGUAAUACAGAGGGUGCAAGCGUUAAUCGGAUUUACUGGGCGUAAAGCGUGCGUAGGCGGCUAAUUAAGUCAAAUGUGAAAUCCCCGAGCUUAACUUGGGAAUUGCAUUCGAUACUGGUUAGCUAGAGUAUGGGAGAGGAUGGUAGAAUUCCAGGUGUAGCGGUGAAAUGCGUAGAGAUCUGGAGGAAUACCGAUGGCGAAGGCAGCCAUCUGGCCUAAUACUGACGCUGAGGUACGAAAGCAUGGGGAGCAAACAGGAUUAGAUACCCUGGUAGUCCAUGCCGUAAACGAUGUCUACUAGCCGUUGGGGUCUUUGAGACCUUAGUGGCGCAGCUAACGCGAUAAGUAGACCGCCUGGGGAGUACGGUCGCAAGACUAAAACUCAAAUGAAUUGACGGGGGCCCGCACAAGCGGUGGAGCAUGUGGUUUAAUUCGAUGCAACGCGAAGAACCUUACCUGGCCUUGACAUACUAAGAACUUUCCAGAGAUGGAUUGGUGCCUUCGGGAACUUAGAUACAGGUGCU
rnacentral:rRNA from 1 species